UAAGCCAGCUAGACAGUCGCCCAGUUAUGAUACUAGUUAUUGACUGGGAGGAAAGUCCGGGCUCCAUAGGGCAAAGUGCCAGGUAACACCUGGGAGGCGAAAGUCUACGGAAAGUGCAACAGAAAGUAUACCGCUGUCGAAUGUCUCGACAGUAAGGGUGAAAUGGUGCGGUAAGAGCAGCACCGCGUUCGUGGUAACACAAACGGCGAUGGUAAACCCCACUUGGAGCAAGGCCAAAUAAAAAUCUUUGAAUGUGUAGCCCGCACUCAGAUUUGGGUAGGCUGCUUGAGGUGUGUGGUGACAUACAUCCUAGAUAGAUGACUGUCCAUGACAGAACCCGGCUUAUCGGCUGGCUGUUGCU
rnacentral:RNase_P_RNA from 1 species